rnacentral:rRNA from 1 species
UACGAAGGGGGCUAGCGUUGUUCGGAUUUACUGGGCGUAAAGCGCGUGUAGGCGGGUCGUUAAGUUGGGGGUGAAAUCCCGGGGCUCAACUCCGGAACUGCCUCCAAAACUGGCGACCUGGAGCAGAGGAGAGGCGAGUGGAAUUCCGAGUGUAGAGGUGAAAUUCGUAGAUAUUCGGAGGAACACCAGUGGCGAAGGCGACUCGCUGGACUCUUGCUGACGCUGAGAAGCGAAAGCGUGGGGAGCAAACAGG